UGGGGAAUAUUGGACAAUGGGCGAAAGCCUGAUCCAGCCAUGCCGCGUGUGUGAAGAAGGUCUUCGGAUUGUAAAGCACUUUAAGUUGGGAGGAAGGGCAGUAAGCGAAUACCUUGCUGUUUUGACGUUACCGACAGAAUAAGCACCGGCUAACUCUGUGCCAGCAGCCGCGGUAAUACAGAGGGUGCAAGCGUUAAUCGGAAUUACUGGGCGUAAAGCGCGCGUAGGUGGUUCGUUAAGUUGAAUGUGAAAGCCCCGGGCUCAACCUGGGAACUGCAUCCAAAACUGGCGAGCUAGAGUAGGGCAGAGGGUGGUGGAAUUUCCUGUGUAGCGGUGAAAUGCGUAAAUAUAGGAAGGAACACCAGUGGCGAAGGCGACCACCUGGGCUCAUACUGACACUGAGGUGCGAAAGCGUGGGGAGCAAACAGG
rnacentral:rRNA from 1 species